CAGAAGAAGCACCGGCUAACUACGUGCCAGCAGCCGCGGUGAUACGUAGGGUGCGAGCGUUGUCCGGAUUUAUUGGGCGUAAAGAGCUCGUAGGUGGUUGAUUGCGUCGGAAGUGAAAACUUGGGGCUUAACCCUGAGCGUGCUUUCGAUACGGGUUGACUUGAGGAAGGUAGGGGAGAAUGGAAUUCCUGGUGGAGCGGUGGAAUGCGCAGAUAUCAGGAGGAACACCAGUGGCGAAGGCGGUUCUCUGGACCUUUCCUGACGCUGAGGAGCGAAAGCGUGGGGAGCGAACAGGCUUAGAUACCCUGGUAGUCCACGCUGUAAACGGUGGGUACUAGGUGUGGGGUCCAUUCCACGGAUUCCGUGCCGUAGCUAACGCAUUAAGUACCCCGCCUGGGGAGUACGGCCGCAAGGCUAAAACUCAAAGGAAUUGACGGGGCCCCGCACAAGCGGCGGAGCAUGCGGAUUAAUUCGAUGCAACGCGAAGAACCUUACCUGGGUUUGACAUGGACUGGGAGUGCUCAGAGAUGGGUAUGCCUCCUUGUGGGGCUGGUUCACAGGUGGUGCAUGGCUGUCGUCAGCUCGUGUCGUGAGAUGUUGGGUUAAGUCCCGCAACGAGCGCAACCCUCGUUCACUGUUGCCAGCACGUUAUGGUGGGGACUCAGUGGAGACCGCCGGGGUCAACUCGGAGGAAGGUGGGGAUGACGUCAAGUCAUCAUGCCCCUUAUGUCCAGGGCUUCACGCAUGCUACAAUGGCCGGUACAAAGAGUUGCGAGCCUGUGAGGGUGAGCGAAUCUCGGAAAGCCGGUCUCAGUUCGGAUUGGGGUCUGCAACUCGACCCCAUGAAGUCGGAGUCGCUAGUAAUCGCAGAUCAGCAACGCUGCGGUGAAUACGUUCCCGGGGCUUGUACACACCGCCCGUCAAGUCAUGAAAGUCGGUAACACCCGAAGCCGGUGGCCUAACCUGUGUGGGGGAGCCGUCGAAGGUGGGACUGGUAAUUAGGACUAAGUCGUAACAAGGUAGCCGUACCGGAAGGUGCGGCUG
rnacentral:rRNA from 1 species